rnacentral:rRNA from 1 species
AGUGAACGCUGGCGGUAGGCCUAACACAUGCAAGUCGAACGGCAGCACAGUAAGAGCUUGCUCUUACGGGUGGCGAGUGGCGGACGGGUGAGGAAUACAUCGGAAUCUACUUUUUCGUGGGGGAUAACGUAGGGAAACUUACGCUAAUACCGCAUACGACCUACGGGUGAAAGCAGGGGAUCUUCGGACCUUGCGCGAUUGAAUGAGCCGAUGUCGGAUUAGCUAGUUGGCGGGGUAAAGGCCCACCAAGGCGACGAUCCGUAGCUGGUCUGAGAGGAUGAUCAGCCACACUGGAACUGAGACACGGUCCAGACUCCUACGGGAGGCAGCAGUGGGGAAUAUUGGACAAUGGGCGCAAGCCUGAUCCAGCCAUACCGCGCGGGUGAAGAAGGCCUUCGGGUUGUAAAGCCCUUUUGUUGGGAAAGAAAAGCAGCAGGUUAAUACCCCGCUGUUCUGACGGUACCCAAAGAAUAAGCACCAGCUAACUUCGUG